rnacentral:tRNA from 3 species
GGUAUAGUACUUUAAAAUAAAAAGGAUUGAUUUGCAUUUAGUUAUUGGGUUGUACCCCUAUACUU